ACGUGGGAGGCAAGCGUUAUCCGGAGUUACUGGGCGUAAAGGGCGUGCAGGCGGCUCUAUAAGACAGAUGUGAAAUCCCCGGGCUUAACCUGGGAACUGCGUUUGUGACUGUAGGGCUUGAGUGCGGCAGAGGGGGGUGGAAUUCCGCGUGUAGCAGUGAAAUGCGUAGAUAUGCGGAGGAACACCGAUGGCGAAGGCAAUCCCCUGGGUCGACACUGACGCUCAUGCACGAAAGCGUGGGGAGCAAACAG
rnacentral:rRNA from 1 species